rnacentral:rRNA from 1 species
CAGUAGCCACGGUAAUACGUAGGUGGCAAGCGUUGUCCGGAAUUAUUGGGCGUAAAGGGCUCGCAGGCGGUUUCUUAAGUCUGAUGUGAAAGCCCCCGGCUCAACCGGGGAGGGUCAUUGGAAACUGGGAAACUUGAGUGCAGAAGAGGAGAGUGGAAUUCCACGUGUAGCGGUGAAAUGCGUAGAGAUGUGGAGGAACACCAGUGGCGAAGGCGACUCUCUGGUCUGUAACUGACGCUGAAGAGCGAAAGCGUGGGGAGCGAACAGGAUUAGAUACCCGCGUAGUCCCUGUCUCUUAUAA